rnacentral:rRNA from 1 species
GACGAACCGUGCGAACGUUAUUCGGAAUCACUGGGCUUAAAGCGCGUGUAGGCGGGAGGGCACGUCCGUUGCUGAAAUCCCCCGGCUCAACCGGGGAACGGGCGCGGAUACGACUCUCCUUGAGGGGCGUAGGGGGACCUGGAACUUCCGGUGGAGCGGUGAAAUGCGUUGAGAUCGGAAGGAACGCCCGUGGCGAAAGCGAGGUCCUGGACGCCUACUGACGUUGAGACGCGAAAGCCAGGGGAGCGAACGGG